GGAAAGUGUGGGCUAGGCGCGUGGGUAAUAUGGAGGUUGCAGUGAUUAAGUGGUGUGUCGGGGAGUAGAGCGUGGGUAGGUGGCUAAUGAGGGCAGAUGUGGAUUGCCGUGGCUUAACUUGGGAAUUGCAUGCGAGACGGGUGAGCUAGAGUAGGGGAGAGGAUGGUAGAAUUCCAGUUGUAGCGGUGAAAUGCGUAGAGAUCUGGAUGAAUACCGAUGGCGAAGGCAGCCAUCUGGGCUAAUACUGACACUGAGGUGCGAAAGCAUGGGGAGCAAACAUGAUUAGAUACCCGUGUAGUC
rnacentral:rRNA from 1 species